rnacentral:rRNA from 1 species
UACGGAGGGAGCUAGCGUUAUUCGGAAUUACUGGGCGUAAAGCGCACGUAGGCGGCUUUGUAAGUUAGAGGUGAAAGCCUGGAGCUCAACUCCAGAAUUGCCUUUAAGACUGCAUAGCUUGAAUCCAGGAGAGGUGAGUGGAAUUCCGAGUGUAGAGGUGAAAUUCGUAGAUAUUCGGAAGAACACCAGUGGCGAAGGCGGCUCACUGGACUGGUAUUGACGCUGAGGUGCGAAAGCGUGGGGAGCAAACAGG